UCAUUAUUAUCACAUUGUUCAUCCUUACAUUUAGGUUGAACACAUUUUUAAGACAGGUAUAUCUACAUACUAUUGUCACAUAACAUCUCUUUCAUUCUCUCUGAACACGUCUCACAAUUCAACAAACAUACAUGUGUUGUUAAGCCUCAAC